UUUAUUUCGUAUAUAUGUUUAUAGGUUUAUUCGUAUCAACAAAUCUGUGUACGAGUUAAUAACGCAGCCUGGUUCCCUGCAUUUUCAGUGAACCACAGAGAACCAGAAUAAGAUUGUAGGGAAACAAGCCUUGUUACAAGGUUUGAGGGUCUCUGCUAGAAUCAUGUGGACCCCAGUGUAACAAAUCUAUGGAAAGAGAGAAAAUCUCAGCUCAAGGGUCAACAUGUCUUUAUUCCAAGAAAGAGUGUACAUAUGCCAGAAUCAUAUGGACCGCAGACUGGCCCUGGUGAUUCCGUUAAGAAAAAAGAGGAAAAAUCAGUGCUUGUGCUCAUUGGUCAUUGGACAAAGGGUGAAUGCCAGAAUUUUUUCAAGAACAGUCUGAAUCUGACAUGGAAAAAAUGAAGAAAAACAGCCUUCCUGUUUAUAAAUCUACAUUCUGACAAAGGGUAAGAAAGAAAUUCAGGAGUUCUUAAAUUGCCCUUGGAGUUCUUGGAUUGCAUCAAACUGCUAAAAGACCUCAACAAAAACAGCGUCUUGAAAAUAAAAAUGAAAAUAUUUAGUGAAAAAAAAAUGAUGAAAGAGCCACUAAAAAUCUUCAAACCUUUGAGCUGAAAUCUGGAAGUCAAUCUGUGGACUUUACUAGUAUGUAAUAAUUACUAACUCAUCAUUUGUGUAUAAUAAAUACACUAAACUGUAAACACUUGUUAAAAUGUAUAAUUUUUAGAUAUAAUUUGUAGCUCACAGACUUCAAUAGUUUCAUGUAAUUUAAGUAAUAAUGAAAAUUUCCUGUUGUCUAGCUAGAUUAGAAACUAUUAUUGUCCAAUUUUGGAUAUUGUGAAAUAAUUCAUCUAGUAUGCAUACAUGUGUGUACACUUACGUGUAAAUUAAUUGUUAUAGCAAAUUCAAUCGAUCAUUAAGUUGAAUGUUGACUAAUGUUUUUCAUCAAAAUUGUUUACACUGAAUUGUUUGUGGAUUUUUCCAUUUGCCCAAUCAUGUCAAGGAGCACAUGGCAGGAAAUGCUUUCUCCUCCAUUGCACCUGGUGUUUUUAGAGGUCUGUGUUUGCUCUGCUCUAAUUAUGUAUUGUUUCAAUGGACUUUAAAGCUUUAUCACUGUUAGUAAUCUUCAUAUUUCAUAUACUAUUAGAGUACUUGAAGAAAACUGUAAAGAUUUAACAUACAGUAUAAUGCAUGUAUAUUGCACUUUAAGUACAGUGUAUGUGGUUAAGAAAUGUUAAAUCGUCUCAUAGUGCAUUGAAUUUGUUGAAAAUUAGAAAAUGUGUUGAAUUUUUUUUUGAAAUAAUGUUAAGAUUGCAGAUUUUUUUAAAUCAUGCAAGUAAGAAAUUGCAAAAUAUUUUUUAGCUUUUCUGGACAGUCUAGAUGAGUUCUUAUUAUAUACCUAGCAUUGUCAUCCCAGUUAAAAUUUAAGGAGCAAGGUUCAUUCCUAAGCUCUACCUGGACAAACUUGCAUGGAUUAAAGCACAUUAACAGAUUUACUUCAGAUGCUUGACCUGAUCUACAUUUUCCUCAUGUGUUUUUUUUGUUUUUGUUUGUUUGUUUAACAUCCCUCUCAAGAAUUUUUCAUCCAUAUGGAGAUACCACUACUUGCUGGUGGAGAGCUGCAAAAUUUGACCUUUACUUUGCACUCAGGGCCUUGAGCAGUAAGGGAUCUUUUUUGUGCCCACAUCAACUGCUAGGCGGGACCUCGGUUUAUAUGGUCUAAUCUGAAGGACUGGUCCCCACAUCCCAAGUGGAUUUGAACCUGAGACUUAAGGAUUAAAUCCUUACUCUAGAUUACAAACUCUAUCCUUUGCGCCACAUGGGGGACUCCACAAGAUUAAGUGUUUUGAGCAGUCCUAUUCUCAUGUAAUUAUAAACUCUAUGUUGAACAAACCUGCAAAGAUGAUGUAUGUACAUGUAAAUAUUUCAGGGUACCAAUCCUUGAUUUGACUUAGAUUUUCUGGAUUAAUGACCAGUUUUUUAGAGAAGGUUCAUUCAAAGUAACAAUAUACUCUUUGGUGAUCAGUAAACAUAGAUGAUGUAUCCUGCUUCUGAUGCUGGAUGUAACAUACAUUUUCAGGGUUAUUGAGCAGUUAAAUCUAACCCAGACCAACUUGCAUAGAUUUUGGAUCCAGGUGAUAUACAUUACCAGAGUGUUUGUUGAGUGAGACUUUGCCUUACUAGUAGAUAACAUUUAUAGAAGUGAGCUUUGUAUUCUUUGAUUAGGUAUGUUUUUUCUUUGCUCAGGAUAUAUAUACCAUCAGUGCCAACUACCAUACAUUUUAUAUAAUAGAUGUAGCUGUUGUUCAACUGAAUAUGAUAAAACUGUGGAUGAAAAUAAUUUGAUUUUUGUACCUUUGAAUGUAUUGAAUUCAUUUGUAAAAGCUUAUAUGAUACAAUGUUUGAUAUUUUAUAAAAGUUUUUAGCAUAUGCAAUCAAUAAAUGUAUCAACAUUUUUAUUUUAUUAUACUUUUUACCCUGCAAACUUCUUAAAAACAGAAUAGUAAUGAUCCAUUUAACUGAUACUAGGUUAGUGUCACAUUGUACUGGUAUAUCAUGUAUACUGAACUGUAAAUAAGAAACAUCUAAAUAGGUAAAAUCACAGCAUGAAUCAUUGGAUUAUGUAAGAAGUGCACUAUCUUGUGCUUUGGUAUGGUAUUAAUAAUAAAUGUUAAACUAUCAUUUUUUUUAUGCCCCGCCAUGAAUAUGGCCGGGGGAUAUAGUGUUUGUCAUGUCCGUCUUCCGUCCUUCCGUCUGUUUUCCGUCACACUUUACGUUUAGCUCUGUUCAAAGCUCAGUUUCAAAGAAACUAUCCAAGAUAUUUUUAUCAAACUUCAUAUGCUGAUAGAUAUUGAUGAGAGCUUUGCAACUGUAUCAACAUUUUUUUGACCUUGACCUUUCCUUUGACCUUCACCUCACUUUUCUUAAAUUAGUGUUUAGCUUAGUUUUAAAGAUACCAUUCAAGAUAGUGUAAUCAAACUUCACAUGUUGAUACAUACUGAUGUAAGCUAUUCAACUGCAUCAACAUUUUUUGACCUUGACCUUUCCUUUGACCUUGACCUCACUUUUCUUAAAUUAGUGUUUAGCUCAGUUUUAAAGAUACCAUUCAAGACAUUUCUAACAAACUUCAUAUGCUGAUACAUACUGAUGAGAGCUAUUCAACUGCAUCAACAUUUUUUACCUUGACCUUUCCUUUGACCUUGACCUCACUUUUCUUAAAUUAGUGUUUAGCUCAGUUUUUAAAGAUACCAUUCAAGAUAGUGUAAUCAAACUUCAUAUGUUGAUACAUACUGAUGAGAGCUUUUCAACUGCAUCAACAUUUUUUGACCUUGACCUUUCCUUUGACCUUGACCUCACUUUUCUUAAAUUAGUGUCAAACUUCAUAUGCUGAUACAUACUGAUGAGAGCUAUUCAACUGCAUCAAUAUUUUUUGACCUUGACCUUUCCUUUGACAUUGACCUCACUUUUCUUAAAUAAGUUUUUAGCUCAGUUUUAAAGAUACCAUUCAAGAUAGUGUUAGCAAACUUCAUAUGCUGAUACAUACUGAUGAGAGCUACUCAACUGCAUCAACAUUUUUUGACCUUGACCUUUCCUUUGACCUUGACCUCACUUUUCUUAAAUUAGUGUCAAACUUCAUAUGCUGAUACAUACUGAUGAGAGCUAUUCAAAUGCACCAAUAUUUUUUCACCUUGACCUUUCCUUUGACCUUGACCUCACUUUUCUCAAUUUGUGUUAAAAUGUUGCAUUACUAAUAUACCCUUGGCGGGGCAUUCAUGUCCUAUGGACAUAUUUCUAGUUUCAAAUUAACAAAGGAUAUGCUUGAGUGACUGUAUUUUGACUAGCAGUAAAAAUAAAAUGAUUUUUAAGCA